AUUGAACGCUGGCGGCAGGCCUAACACAUGCAAGUCGAGCGGAUGAGGAGAGCUUGCUCUCUGAUUUAGCGGCGGACGGGUGAGUAAUGCCUAGGAAUCUGCCUGGUAGUGGGGGAUAACGUUCCGAAAGGAACGCUAAUACCGCAUACGUCCUACGGGAGAAAGCAGGGGACCUUCGGGCCUUGCGCUAUCAGAUGAGCCUAGGUCGGAUUAGCUAGUUGGUGAGGUAAUGGCUCACCAAGGCGACGAUCCGUAACUGGUCUGAGAGGAUGAUCGGUCACACUGGAACUGAGACACGGUCCAGACUCCUACGGGAGUCAGCAGUGGGGAAUAUUGGACAAUGGGCGAAAGCCUGAUCCAGCCAUGCCGCGUGUGUGAAGAAGGUCUUCGGAUUGUAAAGCACUUUAAGUUGGGAGGAAGGGUUGUAGAUUAAUACUCUGCAAUUUUGACGUUACCAACAGAAUAAGCACCGGCUAACUUCGUGCCAGCCGCCGCGGUAAGAC
rnacentral:rRNA from 1 species